UACGAAGGGUGCAAGCGUUAGUCGGAAUUACUGGGCGUAAAGCGUGCGUAGGUGGUUUCUUAAGUCGGAUGUGAAAGCCCUGGGCUCAACCUGGGAAUGGCACUCGAUACUGGGAAGCUAGAGUGCGGUAGAGGAGGGUGGAAUUCCCGGUGUAGCGGUGAAAUGCGUAGAGAUCGGGAGGAACAUCAGUGGCGAAGGCGACCCUCUGGACCAGCACUGACGCUGAGGCACGAAAGCGUGGGGAGCAAAC
rnacentral:rRNA from 2 species